CUACGGGAGGCAGCAGUGAGGAAUAUUGGUCAAUGGGCGGAAGCCUGAACCAGCCAUGCCGCGUGAAGGAAUGAGGCCCUAUGGGUCGUAAACUUCUUUUGACGGGGAGCAAUAAGGUCCACGUGUGGGCCGAUGAGAGUACUCGUCGAAUAAGCAUCGGCUAACUCCGUGCCAGCAGCCGC
rnacentral:rRNA from 1 species